GCCAGGUGUGGUGGCGCACACCUGUGACCCCAGGUAUCUGGGAGGCUGAGGCAGGAGGAUGGCAAGGUCAAGGCCGGCCUGUGCCCCCCAACCAACAGAGGGCAGCGUGGAGCCCACGCACCCCUGGCCUCUGCCACCCGAGACCCACCUCCU
rnacentral:sRNA from 1 species